rnacentral:tRNA from 2 species
GCGGGAGUAGCUCAGUUGGUAGAGCGCANUUGGUAGAGCGCAACCUUGCCAAGGUUGAGGUCGCGAGUUCGAGCCUCGUCUCCCGCUCCA